rnacentral:rRNA from 1 species
UACGAAGGGGGCUAGCGUUGUUCGGAAUUACUGGGCGUAAAGCGUAUGCAGGCGGACUUUUAAGUCGGGGGUGAAAUCCCGAGGCUCAACCUCGGAACUGCCUUCGAUACUGGAAGUCUCGAGUUUGGGAGAGGGAUGCAGAAUUCCAGGUGUAGCGGUGAAAUACGUAGAUAUCUGGAGGAAUACCGGUGGCGAAGGCGGCAUCCUGGACUAACACUGACGCUGAGGCGCGAAAGCUAGGGGAGCAAACGGG